GACGUAGGGCGCGAGCGUUUGUCCGGAUUUAUUGGGCGUAAAGAGCUCGUAGGCGGCUUGUCGCGUCGACCGUGAAAACUUGUGGCUCAACCACAAGCUGGCGGUCGAUACGGGCAGGCUGGAGUUCGGUAGGGGAGACUGGAAUUCCUGGUGUAGCGGUGAAAUGCGCAGAUAUCAGGAGGGAACACCCGGUGGCGAAGGC
rnacentral:rRNA from 1 species